rnacentral:rRNA from 1 species
UACGUAGGGGGCUAGCGUUGUCCGGAUUUAUUGGGCGUAAAGAGCGUGUAGGCGGCCAUGUAGGUCCGGUGUGAAAACUCGAGGCUUAACCUCGAGAUGUCAUCGGAAACCAUUUGGCUAGAGUCCGGAAGAGGAAAGUGGAAUUCCUGGUGUAGCGGUGAAAUGCGCAGAUAUCAGGAAGGAACACCAUGUGAAAGCAGCUUCUGGGACGUAACUGACGCUGAGACGCGAAAGCGUGGGGGAGCAAACAGG